GAUGAACGCUAGCGGCAGGCUUAACACAUGCAAGUCGAGGGGUAUAGGUUUUCGGACCUAGAGACCGGCGCACGGGUGCGUAACGCGUAUGCAAUCUACCUUUCACAGAGGGAUAGCCCAGAGAAAUUUGGAUUAAUACCUCAUAGUCUAGCAGUUUCGCAUGAAACCACUAUUAAAGUAUCAACGGUGAAAGAUGAGCAUGCGUCCCAUUAGCUAGAUGGUAAGGUAACGGCUUACCAUGGCUACGAUGGGUAGGGGUCCUGAGAGGGAGAUCCCCCACACUGGUACUGAGACACGGACAAGACUCCUACGGGAGGCAGCAGUGAGGAAUAUUGGUCAAUGGACGCAAGUCUGAACCAGCCAUGCCGCGUGCAGGAUGACGGUCCUAUGGAUUGUAAACUGCUUUUGUACGAGAAGAAACAACAUUACGUGUAAUGUCUUGACGGUAUCGUAAGAAUAAGGAUCGGCUAACUCCGUGCCAGCCGCCGCGGUAACAC
rnacentral:rRNA from 1 species